UACAGAGGUCCCAAGCGUUGUUCGGAUUCACUGGGCGUAAAGGGUGCGUAGGUGGUGAGGUAAGUCUGAUGUGAAAGCCCUGGGCUCAACCUGGGAAUGGCAUUGGAUACUGGCGAUCUAGAGUGCGGUAGAGGGCAGUGGAAUUCCCGGUGUAGCAGUGAAAUGCGUAGAGAUCGGGAGGAACAUCUGUGGCGAAGGCGACUGCCUGGACCAGCACUGACACUGAGGCACGAAAGCGUGGGGAGCAAACAGG
rnacentral:rRNA from 1 species